UCUCUCUUACUCUAAAAACACUUGCCUUUUCAUUUGCUUUUUCCUUCUCCUUUUGCUUCCAUCCUUUCCCAUCAAGUCUGUAGCAGAUUGAAUUUAUCUACUUUGCUUGCAAACAUGGAUUUGCUUCAAUCGAUACAAACCCUAUCUCUAACCUCUUCUUUCAAAAUCAACUUUAAUUCAAAAAACUCAUCAUCUUCUCUUUCUCUCAUCCUUUUUCACUAUCUCUCUUUCUUUCUCUCAUUUUCUCCUUCUCUAUCUCUCUUGAUCCAUCUUCUUUUUGUUGCUCUUCUUCCUUCUCUACCUCUUUCGCUAUCUCUUUUGUUAUUUCGGUAUCACACCGAAACAAGAAUGGUGUUCGAAUCGGUUUAAGUUGGUGCAUCUGUUGGAUUGAGAUUUUAGGGUUUCAAACCGCGAAUCGGUUUACAUGUUUUCAUCCACUGCUAUAGAAGAAGACACUCCUUCUUGCUUUAUAUAUGUAAAGCUAAAAUGUCGCCGUCUCCGUUGAGGAAUGGUAACAACAGUGUUAAGUUUUCAUUGAUGUUGACGAAGAAGGAGAUUAUUUAGAUUCAUGAGAUUAAGACUGGAUCGAGUUUUAUCACUGAUUUUGAAGCUAACAAGACACCACAAAAGGCUUGAGCUUGGAAAUUAUUGAAUCCAAAAUGUUAAAGUGACAGCAGAACUACCUUUUCUGUGUUUCAAGUUAUUUGGUAAAGUGAUGAUUUUUGUCUUUAAAAUACAUGGGUAAAGGCGACAUCAAAGAAAUUGAUUCCAAGUGAAGAGUGGGAGAGGAAGCUUAAUAAUGUCAAUAUUAAGAUACAAGACAUGAAUAAAUUGGUGAUAAUUUUCCCUGUCGAAGAAGGUUUCGUUGAAGCUGCUGAGAAAUUCCGCAAGGAGUCUUAAACUGAUCGUAUCCUUUUUUCUUAUGUUUAUUUUUCUUUAUUAACUUGUCUUCUGAUUGGAUUUAUAGUGCCGGUUGAUGUUGUUGUCACGCCAAAGUCAAUAUUACAGGUAAUUUGAAUCAAUGUUGUGAAAUAGCAGUGCUAUAGCGCUACUCAGAUCGAAAUUUACAAGUAAUCGAGAAAUUUCAUAUGCAUAUCUUGGAAGACCCUGGGGACCUUUUGGAAGGAUGGUUUUUGCGUACACUUACAUCAAUCCGGUAUAAGACAAGUUGUUGUGGAGCAGGCACUGCUGCUGAUACAGAGGCAUUAAUAGGUAUCGAUAAUAAUGCAUACAUCUCAUGUUGCCAAUUUUUAUUACACUGCUGCUGAUUUUCCAUUUUUUGUAUUUUCUUGUCAAAAUUCACUACGGGAGAAUGAUUUCAGUAAGCCCCAUGCGUUUUAUAUGCAAAUAUUUUUACAAUAUGGUGGAUAUUUUCAUUUCAAAUAUUAGGAUGUCGAUAUUGGGAUUAUUCAAGAGAAUCUGAAUUAGUUUCCCAUGUAAGGAUCUAUAGUAGCAUGUGAGUCCUAAAAUGACUGCUGUUAUAAUAAAAAUAUGCUUAAGUGUUCAAAGUUUAUGUAACAUGAUAUAUAAUUCAGCAAAUUAGAGUUAAGCAACUCUAUUGUUGUGCUCAAAUAAUGAAUGCUCUUAUGCAAGUGAUUAAUUCAAAUCAGAAGAUGCCAAACUUAUUUAACUUGAGGCUUUGUUUAUCAAAGAGCAUAAUGCAUUAUGUGACAUGCUAAAAAAGACUUUCCUGAUUUUGAUGAUGAGCAACUCUAUACGUAUGCAAGAUUGGUGACUUCAACAGUCAUUGUGAAAAUCCAUACAAUCGAUUGAACUAUAGAGCUCUUAAAAACUGAUACUCAUCGGGCGUCGAUGCGGAUCAACUGUUUUCUGUGCAGUUUUAAACAACCCCCUGCCGACAACCGUUUCUCUAACUCCGACUGAUCCGUACUCAUCUCGUGUCACGGCCUUCCUAAAGUAUUUUGAUUUAAAUUCGUUUCUUCCAUAGAUGUAUUGGCUCUUGGCUGUUACUUCUAUAUAAUGAGCUUACACAUAUAUAACUGACAUGAAUGAAUAUGCAUAUGAUAUUAAAAGGGAUGGAAGUGCUAUAUAUGGAAACACUGAUAGAGUUUUUAGACAAGUGAGGACUUUUGAAGAUGGCAAGUUAAAAAUAUCAAAGGAAGGAAAUCUUCUUCAUAAUGAAGAUGGAUUAGCAAUAUCGGGUGAUGUUCGUAAUAGUUGGGCUGGUGUUUCAGUUUUGCAGAGUCUUUUUAUUCGAGAACACAUUGCUGUUUGUGAUGCUCUCAAGAAUACCCGGAAUUAAAAGAUGAAGAAGAUCUUUAUCGCUAUGCUAGAUUGGUAACAUCAGUUGUGAUUGCGAAGAUUCAUACCAUAGAUUGGACUGUCGAGCUUCUUAAAAUGGACAUAUUGCUUGCAGGAAUGCGAGGAAAUUGGUGUGAAUUAUUGGGGAAGUCAUUCAAGGACAAAUUUAGGCAUUAUUGGGGAAGUCAAUUGGUUAUAUGAUGUUAGAUUUUGUUGACAGUUGAUUGUGAAAUGGUGGAUUCGGUUAGUGAUGUUAAUGAAAGUUAAUGAAAGUUAGUUGCAAUUAGAUUUUAGAAAUCGAAAGCUGAUAAUGAGUUUAUGAUUAGUAGAAGUGAGUUCGGGAUGUUGGCUUUUUCUGGUUUAGAGGCUGGGUCGAAAAAGUUAUGCCAUUUGGUUUUGGAUGCUUAGACACUGAUAUGGACUGAGUUCGUUUGUAUGAAUGUGCAGGGCUGAACAUGGAACUGUUAUGUUAGUUAAAGAAAUGGUUUAGUCUAAAUUGUUAGGUUGUUAUUUGACAGUUAGAGAAAUUGUUAACUGUUAAUUAUGAUUCAGUUAGCUAUGUUAAAGUUGAAACUUGGAUUGUUAGUAUGUGUUAAUUGGAAGAAUUACAACUGCAACUGUUAGUAGGACUUGGCUGGAUUAGUGAAAUUAAACUAUGUUAGUGUUAAAACAAUUAGUUGAAAACUAUUAGUAUAUCAUCUUUAAAAAAAUAAUUUGUUCUAUUAGUAAUUAAAACCUGUUAGUAAAUGUUAGGAUGCUUGUAACUAUUUGAAGAAGUUAAUUGGCGAAAGUGUUAAGGGUUAUUUGUUUUGUGAUGCAGGUUUUAGAUGUUUUAUCAGGGUACGCAAUACCGAAUCAAUGUUAUGGUCGCGAGGCUGAAUGUUGGACAAUAUGGUGA